GCAUAUCAAUAAGCGGAGGAAAAGAAACUAACAAGGAUUCCCCUAGUAACGGCGAGUGAAGCGGGAAGAGCUCAAAUUUGUAAUCUGGCACCUUCGGUGUCCGAGUUGUAAUCUCGAGAAGUGUUUUCCGCGCCGGACCGCAUACAAGUCUGUUGGAAUACAGCGUCAUAGUGGUGAGAACCCCGUAACUGAUGCGGAUGCCCGGUGCUUUGUGAUACACUUUCGAAGAGUCGAGUUGUUUGGGAAUGCAGCUCAAAUUGGGUGGUAAAUUCCAUCUAAAGCUAAAUAUUGGCGAGAGACCGAUAGCGAACAAGUACCGUGAGGGAAAGAUGAAAAGCACUCUGGAAAGAGAGUUAACAGUACGUGAAAUUGUUGGAAGGGAAACGCUUGAAGUCAGACUUGCUAUUUGGAAUUCAGCCGCAAGGUGUACUUUUCAAUUCGCAGGCCAGCAUCAGUUUUCGGGGGUGGAAAAGGGUAGAGAGAAGGUAGCAAUUUCGGUUGUGUUAUAGCUCUUUGCUGGAUUCAUCCUUGGGGACUGAGGAACGCAGCACGCUUUUUGCAAGGCUUUCGAGCUUUUCGUGCUUAGGAUGCUGGUGGAAUGGCUUUAAACGACCCGUCUUGAAACACGGACC
rnacentral:rRNA from 1 species